rnacentral:tRNA from 2 species
GGUUCUGUAGUACAAUGGAUAGUAUGGAGGUUUCCGGAGCCUCAGAUACAGGUUCGAUUCCUGUCAGAACCA